GGAAGGUCCAUAGCUCAGUGGCAGAGCAUCUUUCCUUGCAUGCAGAAGGUCCUGAGUUCAAUCCCUGGUAUCUCCA